rnacentral:rRNA from 1 species
GUGGGGAAUAUUGGACAAUGGGCGCAAGCCUGAUCCAGCAAUGCCGCGUGGGUGAAGAAGGUCUUCGGAUCGUAAAGCCCUUUCGACAGGGACGAUGAUGACGGUACCUGUAGAAGAAGCCCCGGCUAACUUCGUUCCAGCAGCCGCGGUAAUACGAAGGGGGCUAGCGUUACUCGGAAUUACUGGGCGUAAAGGGCGCGUAGGCGGCUCUGUUAGUCAGGCGUGAAAUUCCUGGGCUUAACCUGGGGACUGCGCUUGAUACUGCAGGGCUUGAGGCCGAGAGAGGGUGGUGGAAUUCCCAGUGUAGAGGUGAAAUUCGUAGAUAUUGGGAAGAACACCGGUGGCGAAGGCGACCACCUGGCUCGGUUCUGACGCUGAGGCGCGACAGCGUGGGGAGCAAACAGGAUUAGAAACCCCAGUAGUC